GACGAACGCUGGCGGCGUGCUUAACACAUGCAAGUCGAACGGAAAGGCCCUGCUUUUGUGGUGUGCUCGAGUGGCGAACGGGUGAGUAACACGUGAGUAACCUGCCCUUUACUUUGGUAUAACUUCAGGAAACUGGGGCUAAUACCUGAUAUGAGCUCCUGCUGCAUGUUGUUGGUUGGUAAGUUUCGGCGGUUGGGGAUGGACUCGCUGCUUAUCAGCUUGUUUGUGGGGUAGUGGCUUACCAAGGCUUUGACGGGUAGCCGGCCUGAGAGGGUGACCGGCGACAAUGGGACUGAGAUACGGCCCAGAAUACAACGGGAGGCAGCAGUGGGGAAUAUGGCAAAAUGGGAGGAAGCAUAAUGAAGAAAAGCAGCGUGCGGGAUGAAGGCCUUCGGGUUGUAAACCGAUUUCGAAUGUGAAGAAGAGUGAGUGACGGUAAUGGGUAAAGAAGCACCGGCUAACUACGUG
rnacentral:rRNA from 1 species